UUUCUCCUGCUCUACACUAGUAAGUGUUGAGAUAAAGCUCGUACUCUUUGCUGAUACAUUGUGAUUUUUUCUUGCUUCUUUGGACUAAUUCGGUCCUUGUUUUAUGUUCUGCUUUUUGCUUUGCUCUCAAUUCAAGAAUCAUUACUAGCCUGAAUACUGGCUUGCUCAUGAGAAACCGUUCUUUUUUCCUUCUGAAAGGAGCUUAUGACAUGCUGCUAGAAAAAUUCUUUGUACCAUAUUUUGGACUCAAAAGUAAUAUAAAUAAAUGGACCAGUAUUUUUUCGUUGCCAUAUUGUACUAUGCGAUGCAAGUAAAUUGUGUGGCACUCUAUCUCCAACAGUAGCACCACCUAAAAUGCACCCCUGUUGCCCUGCCUUUUGGAGCAGACGAAGCUUUGUCAUGGUCUGCUCAUCGCAGAGGAUACAGGUGAACAUAUGGUUUGGUAAUUGGUACUUUAAGAUUUUAGGAGUCUAUAUAGUUUGGUAAUUGGUACUUCAGAAGUCUACUAGCUUUUGUCUGAUUGACAGAGAUGGUUUGGUAGCAACUAACUGAACAAUCAACUGCAGCUUUGUUUUUGGUAGAAACACUGCUGCUUGGUGGUCUCAUAUUGCAUCAUGUGCCAAUUCUGUGAUGUGUAAAGCAAUGUUUUGAAUCUGUGUCUAACUGAAUCCUUGUGUAUUUUCCCUUUGUCUCACUAAUUUCAGAUGGUUUACAGGAUCUGGCCCAGGAGACAAAAAGCUUGUUUCUGGAGUAGUGGAAUUCCUGGGUAGCUAUCUUGUUGAGCUGAGUCUUCUGGACUAGAGCUGUCUCCUGUCCUUGCUAUCAGUGAUUUCUGCUUCAUCAGUUUUUUCUUGCUAGGCUGACCAUUGGAUCAGACACUAAUCCUCGGAGCAAGGAAAUUCAGAACUUGACAGGCUACAGGGCAUCAGAGCUGAAGGACUGCAUUAUAGCCAUACAUGAUUUGCAGCUAAAUAUAAAGGGUUCAUCAUUACCAGCAAUUCAAGACAAAAGUAUAAGCAACGCAUGGUAUGCGCAACUCCAACAGUUAUGUGAUAUUCCUCUGAUAUUGUUUUGCUGGUAGUGUUAGUCUAAUUCUCUAAUCAUUUGGAGCUUUUCAAAUUUAUUUAGGUGCUAGUCUAUCACAAGUAAGAGGCCAUGCAUCCUCUUUGUAGAAUCGUACUUCUGUAUUACUAUCUUAGAACAUUGUGCCUUGUUGGUCUGUUUAGCCACAUAUCUGUAGUGGUUGAUAUAUGCUGAUCCAUUGCCUUUACUGAUUAUUUUUCUUUUGAUCUGUUACCUGUGAGUGCGCUUACAGUACCUACGACCUACCUUUCUACCAAUGGGUUGUACUCCCUCCGUAAAGAAAUAUAAGAGCAUUUAAAUCACUAAAGUAGUGAUCUAAACGCUCUUAUAUUUGUUUACAGAGGGAGUACUAGACAUAGGCCUAAAUAACAUAGCUUGCAUGAAUAAUCAUCAUGGUCUCUUUUUGACUAUUAUCAUCUCGAUAGCCUGCUAGUGUAACAUUCUUUGUUGAAUCAAAAUCCUAGAGAUCUGAGUCAUUUCCAAUGUAUGAUCAACCCAUUUGCUGCCUGUAAGUUUUUCACCUCUAAAUGACUGGUUACAAGUUUGAUGACACACUAAACUUCUAUUGGGAUAUUCAAAAAAAGUUGCCGAGCAAUAUGAUGGCAGAUGGGCGGUCCUGGUUUUCUUCAGUCUGCUGUGCAAAGUUAUCUGCUUACUGUAAUUUUUAAUUGAUUACUGAUGUAUAGCUGUAUAAGACACCUUAAUGCUGAGCAUGAUUUCCAUUAGCCAUAUGCAUCUGGAUUACUAAUAUCCACAGUGAACUACUUGCAAGGCACCGUAAUUAUUUUUUUGUCUGGGGGGAACCUUGAUGCUACAUGGUUCUCAUCGGAACCUUCAUUUUUUGUUCUCUGUUAUUAUAAAUAUUGCAUCGCAUGUGUCUAUUCUUGCUAAUGAACUCGCAAGGAAAGUUCGUGCACCGGUUCAUUGCUUUUUCAACUUGAUGGACUAAAAUCAAAUGCAUGCGUCAAAUUGUUGCAUCCCACUGCAAUUACCUCGCUUCUUUGUUAUAUAAAUUACUACAUGUCUGUUAUUGCUAAUGGCAUUCUUCUGAACAGUGGCUACUAAUAUUGUGCACAAUACCGUACUUAGACCACUCCAGUUUGGAAAUAUAAGGUGUGUUCAAAAUUCCGAUGGUAAAAGAAGUGUGCUAUGGCAUCUCUACCCCUGAAGAAUAUCUAGCUUCAUUUGGUGCUCACUACAUGCAUGCACUGAAUAGUCCUUUUCAAUGUUUCCUUGGUCUUAAGUGCAAGGCAAAAUAUGCCCCUGGAUUUUUCGCGGAAUGGGUAAUUUAGGUUACCAUACUUGCUUGAUAAAUUUGUAUAAAACAUAGGUCAAGUUAGAUGACCUUACUGUUUUGUAUGAUACUUUGCGGCUUUCAGCUGGCUUCUCUGCUUAAUUUGCACAUAUUUUUUUUAACCAGAGCUUCAGUUAGCAGCAAUAUUCCCUGUGAGGAGGGUGCUGAACUCAAGAUGGCCAGGUAGCUACUGAUCGCGGACACGACCUUCAGACCCACGACCAUCAGAACAAAGUAGGAUGGAGACUUGAAUCUCAGGCUUUGGUAGGUUGAUGAUGUAUCAACUUUGAACGGCAGUACAAAAGUCCUGGUCAAGUUUGCUGUCCUUGUGAGUAAAGUGGCAUCAAGUGAUCAGUUAAGCUCAGCUCACCCAUCAGGUUCACUAUUAGUUGUUCCUUUUGAAUCCAUGGUGAUGUUGCUGCGAAAUUUAUAGCGACGCUGGAUGCAGUAAGAUGGCGGUGAUGAGCCGGAGAUGGCGGGAUCUGUAAAACUGUCAGGUUUCUUCAGUUAACGCCGCAAGAGUCUCAUGCAUGGUCUGGAAAAAGAAAAGAUUCAGUUAGCGUUGAGACCAUUUAAGGGGUGGCCUUGAUCUAAAAAAAAAACUAUUUGAUGGACGAAUUUAGUGGAGAGAAUAGAUGGAAGACAAAUAGUGGAAAAGCAAAAGAAGAUUCCUCGGCCAAAAUGCUGAAUGGUGGACGAGUUCCAUGGCGGCUGAAUUUUUAAAAAUUCGAAAUUCAUAUUUUUACCUUUCAGUUUCUUUUUCUUUUCUUUUUUUGAAAAAACAUACACAUACAA